rnacentral:rRNA from 4 species
UUAGUGGCGCACGGGUGCGUAACGCGUGGGAAUCUGCCCUUGGGUACGGAAUAACAGUGAGAAAUUACUGCUAAUACCGUAUGAUGUCUUCGGACCAAAGAUUUAUCGCCCAGGGAUGAGCCCGCGUAGGAUUAGCUAGUUGGUGGGGUAAAGGCUCACCAAGGCGACGAUCCUUAGCUGGUCUGAGAGGAUGAUCAGCCACACUGGGACUGAGACACGGCCCAGACUCCUACGGGAGGCAGCAGUGGGGAAUAUUGGACAAUGGGCGCAAGCCUGAUCCAGCAAUGCCGCGUGAGUGAAGAAGGCCUUCGGGUUGUAAAGCUCUUUUACCCGGGAUGAUAAUGACCGUACCGGGAGAAUAAGCCCCGGCUAACUCCGUGCCAGCAGCCGCGGUAAUACGGAGGGGGCUAGCGUUGUUCGGAAUCACUGGGCGUAAAGCGUACGUAGGCGGCUAUUCAAGUCAGAGGUGAAAGCCUGGAGCUCAACUCCAGAACUGCCUU